rnacentral:rRNA from 1 species
GAGGAAUAUUGGUCAAUGGGCGCGAGCCUGAACCAGCCAAGUAGCGUGCAGGAUGACGGCCCUGUGGGUUGUAAACUGCUUUUGUAUGGGGAUAAAGUCAAUCACGUGUGAUUGUUUGCAGGUACCAUACGAAUAAGGACCGGCUAAUUCCGUGCCAGCAGCCGCGGUAAUACGGAAGGUCCGGGCGUUAUCCGGAUUUAUUGGGUUUAAAGGGAGCGUAGGCCGGAGAUUAAGUGUGUUGUGAAAUGUAGACGCUCAACGUCUGACUUGCAGCGCAUACUGGUUUCCUUGAGUACGCACAACGUUGGCGGAAUUCGUCGUGUAGCGGUGAAAUGCUUAGAUAUGACGAAGAACUCCGAUUGCGAAGGCAGCUGACGGGAGCGCAACUGACGCUUAAGCUCGAAGGUGCGGGUAUCGAACAGGAUUAGAUACCCUGGUAGUCCGCACAGUAAACGAUGGAUGCCCGCUGUUGGUACCUGGUAUCAGCGGCUAAGCGAAAGCAUUAAGCAUCCCACCUGGGGAGUACGCCGGCAACGGUG